rnacentral:rRNA from 1 species
CCUACGGGAGGCAGCAGUGAGGAGUAUUGGGCAAUGGGCGCGAGCCUGAACCAGCCAAGUAGCGUGAAGGAUGACUGCCCUACGGGUUGUAAACUGCGUUUAUAAAGGAAUAAAGUGAGGCACGUGUGCCUUUUUGUAUUUACUUUAUGAAUAAGCAUCGGCUAACUCCGUACCAGCAGCCGCGGUAAUACGGAGGAUCCGAGCGUUAUCCGGAUUUGUUGGGUUUAAAGGGAGCGUAGAUGGGUUGUUAAGUCAGUUGUGAAAGUUUGCGGCUCAACCGUAAAAUUGCAAUUGAUACUGGCAGCCUUGAGUACAGUUGAGGUAGGCGGAAUUCGUGGUGUAGCGGUGAAAUGCUUAGAUAUCACGAAGAACUCCGAUUGCGAAGGCAGCUUACUAGACUGCAACUGACAUUGAUGCUCGAAAGUGUGGGUAUCAAACAGGAUUAGAUACCCUUGUAGUC